UAAAAUAAUGUGAGUGGACAACAUCAAUUAUUAUUUUAAGUCUAGAGCCGAGGGCCCGAUGCCGACUAAAUACUGUUAAUAAUAUUAAAAUUAAUUAACCUAGUAAAUUAGUUAUUAUUUGGUUUAUGAGUAAUUGGUGCGAUUGUCAGCGUAGUAGCAGCAAUGUAUGUAGUAGAACAUUUUUUUUCCAAAAUUAAAGAAUUUCAUGUAAUAUUAUAAAUGAUGACGCACGGAAUUUUGCAUGCGUCAUGUUUCAUAAUUCUUUAAAAUGUAAUGCAAGAAAUGUUCCUACUGAGAAUAUUAAUUUAAAUGUACCUAUGUUUAAUACCAACUCAUGUUCGGUACAAUGCUUUAAGAUAUUCGUUGGUAGUUUUGAACUCACUUUGAUUGAAUUACUAGCGGAAUAUUUUAAAUAGAUAUUAUGAUCUCACAAAAUACAAUGGUGUGUAGUGUAGGUACUAGUUAAGUCUACGCUGACUUUAGUUUCUAACGCCUUAAAAUAACACCCCAAUGUAACAUUUGGAAUAUACAGCAUUAAAUAAAUAGUUUUUUAAUCUCAGUAGUAUCAGAAAAAAAAGUACAGGAUUAUACCUACUUGCGUGCCAGAAUCCACGGAAAAUGUAUUCACUUUAUAUCAAUUUGAAUAAUAUUUUUUCUGUAGAUUACUAGACCCAUUUUUCAUCUCAAUAAAAUAGGUACAACGGAAUAAUAAAAAAAAAUAUUAGGUUGGCCUGUCAUCUGUGUCACUUCAUCAGUAUAUAUUUAUUUAGAGUGAUGGAUUCUCUACAAUGACACAGUGAUCGACCAAACAACAAGAAAAGAGUUUAUAGUAGGUAACAUAGAGCAUACGACUAAUUUAUAUAAAGCAAAAAGUUGGUUAUACCUAAGUAAAUGUUCGUUUAUAAUAACCACGAUACAUGUAUAAAAAUGUGCCACAAUCAAUCAAGAACUUGCCAAUUUUUGGCAAUAAAAUUCACUAACACGCCAAUAUUCAUUUCAACAAUAUACAAUUUCACGAGUUUAAAAGGAAUGCUUCAUAUCAGUGCAAGGUGUAUAAUUAGUUUCAAGC